rnacentral:misc_RNA from 1 species
GGAAGAUGCUGCGUCUCUUGUGUAUUAGCCCUAGCAUCCCUUAUCACAUUGAAAAGCAUUAGCAUUCAUUAUUAGCCAAGUUGCAUGGGUGCUCAUAAAGAUUCUGCUGUCAUUUGAUGUUGAUUGGAAAAACAUAAUUGGGUUAUAAGUUAUAUGUUGUGCGUCAAGAUUUGCCGAAAUCCCUUUUGGCAGGUCUUCUAAUUUGGGGUGUAGAUUAAUGCACAAG